AUGCAAGUCUUUAAGCUACCAAAACAGAUUUGUAAUGCAAUAACAACUGCUAUGUCACAGUACUGGUGGGGAGAUGAGGAUGACAAGAAGCAUAUGCACUGGUUUGCGUGGUGGAAAAUGUGUGUGCCAAAGAGCAAUGGAGGUAUGGGUUUUAGAGAUGUACACUGCUUCAAUCUGGCGCUCCUAGCAAAGCAGUGCUGGAGAUUGUUAGCAGAACCUGAUUCUUUGUGUGCCAGAGUAUUAAGGGCAAAAUAUUUCCCGGACGGUGAUCUGCUGAACUGUCCUCUCAAGAAAGGCAGUUCUUAUACAUGGCAAAGCUUGUGGAGUGGUAUUCAGACUUUCAAAAAAGGUUAUAUAUGGAGAGUGGGAGAUGGCACUCAAAUAAGUAUCUGGAGUGAUCCUUGGAUACCCAGCAGCCCAAACAGAAAGGUAAUGACUCCAUGA
rnacentral:rRNA from 1 species